AUUGAACGCUGGCGGCAGGCCUAACACAUGCAAGUCGAGCCAGCGGCAGACGGGUGAGUAAUGUCUGGGACACUGCCUGAUGGAGGGGGAUAACUACUGGAAACGGUCGCUAAUCCCGCAUACCAUCCGAUUUGCCCAGAUGGGAUUAGCUGGUAGGUUGGGUAACGGAUCACCUAGGCGACGAUCCCUAGCUGGUCUGAGAGGAUGACCAGCCACACUGGAACUGAGACACGGGCGAGACUCCUACGGGAGGCAGGAGUGGGGAAUAGUGCACAAUGGGCGCAAGCCUGAUGCAGCCAUGCCGCGUGUGUGAAGAAGGCCUUCGGGUUGUAAAGCACUUUCAGCGGGGAGGCGUUACCCGCAGAAGAAGCACAGGCUAACUCCGUGCCAGCAGCCGCGGUAAUUC
rnacentral:rRNA from 1 species